UGGAAUGAAAUAUUGCUUUAGAACAAAGAACAAAACAUAAGCUAGUUCAGACCAGUCCAGGAUAGGAGGGGAGAUAAGCCCUGCUGAAGAGCCCUGUUGAAAUCACAAAUGCUGUGUUAUCGUGGGAUGGAGAAAGAAGAUAAGUGUAACAUUUCUGUCUCCUGCCCACAUCAAUUGAGGUGAUGGAAGAUGUGACUGCCCAAGAGAAUUAAGGUUAGGAAGUUUGACCCACAUUCAGGUGUCAUUGACGAGCCCAAGAAGCUUCAAGGCUGUCCAGUCUGUCCUGCCGCCGGUACCACCUAGUGGCAGCCAAGAACAUGUCAGGUGGCUCCCAGCCGUGCCUUCAAGUCUGCUCAGGCAAUUUCCCUCCUGAGAUAAAUGAGCUCCGAAAAGAUUCACAGGCUCUAGACAGUGCGGGACUGCCAAGGACCACAUGUAUUUGGCCAAAGUGAAGGCUCGAAACCACUAACCAAAGGGCUCUUGCGGAGACAGAGGUGGACACAGCUUCGGCUCCUGUGCAGAGGUGGGACUUUCAGGCAGCAGAUGUCCACCGGGGGCGGAGCUCCAGUUCUCCGGGAGUCCAGGCGUUCCAGCCUCGGCCAUGUGGAUCUGCCUAGACGUGCCCUGACUUCUCAUUCCCGUGACUUUCCUUCUGGUAAACGCCUCUCAGCUCUACAGACUCUGACUUCCUCAGAUCCGCUGAGGUUAACCCAGUUGAAUUAACCCAGUUUCUGAUUUAGGUUCUUCUCUGACCCACACUUGCUAGGUGCUGCCUUCUCAGGCAUGGCCUCCUUGGCCUGCCUGGUCUUCAGCCUCAUGACUCCAGCCUCGAUGAAGACACACAGAGGAUCAGCAGACCAUCUGUGGAAAACAGUGAACUCUUCUCCGAUGGUUUAUGAGGAACAUUUGACUUGUCAGUUUUCCGGAAGGAUUUAUAUAAAUGAAAGAAAGAGGCGAGGACUGCACUGGCACACCUACCCCUUGGAAGUCUGUUCAGUGGUCUGCCCUCUGAAAUUUUAUUCCCUGAUGCUUUGUGGAGAUGGUUUGACCCUGACAGCUUGAUUUCUAGUCUCAGGGGCCCUUUUGCAUCAGUGUCUUCAGGUUUUAAAAAAAG